UGUGUGUUCCCUCCCAGUGACGAAACCGUCGGACAUGCGCUUCUGAUAUCAAUGUCAGCACUUCCGCGGCAGAGUCACGAAGGCCUCCUCCAAGUCACGAGGUUUGCCAGCGGCCGUCUUGAGGACCAAUAACUGCCACUCUGCACAGUGCCCUCCAUCUCACCUUGACCAAUCGUGUGGAAUGGCCGUGAUUGUGUGUGAGAUACGGCGGCACAUUAAGCUGAUUUAUUGAGCCACUCUCUGGAGGAAAAACUUCAGAUUUGUCCCCCAACUCCCCACCCACCCCCAUGAUGCCGCGAGUUGUGUUCGCAUCCAGUUUCCUGCCUUUUGCAACGGAGAGGUGAGAGUCCUUGUUGUCAUAACAGCUGUUGUCAUGGUAGCUCCACUGAGCAAUCGACACGUCUCAUCCAUGCGUUG